UGAUGAUGGUGAGGGUAAUUUUUGAGUAUACUUUAAAUCUCUCCUAAGCUUGGUAGAGAUUCUCUUCUUCUUUCUGUUUGAAACUCAAAAUCUUACUUGUUAAACG
rfam:Capsicum annuum cultivar Zunla-1 chromosome 10, whole genome shotgun sequence